rnacentral:rRNA from 1 species
UACAGAGGUCCCGAGCGUUGUUCGGAUUCACUGGGCGUAAAGGGUGCGUAGGUGGUGAUGUAAGUUUGAUGUGAAAUCUCCGGGCUUAACCCGGAAAUGGCAUUGAAUACUACAUUGCUGGAGGAUUGGAGGGGGGGACUGGAAUUCUCGGUGUAGCAGUGAAAUGCGUAGAUAUCGAGAGGAACACCAGUGGCGAAGGCGAGUCCCUGGACAAUACCUGACACUGAGGCACGAAAGCUAGGGGAGCAAACAGG